UAUAGAGGGGGGUUGGGUGAGGCAUGGCAAGUCGCGGGGGACGGAUGAGCAGUCGCAAGGCUGCGAGUCCUAGUAAACCGGCGCAAGGGUGAGCAGUAGGUAGAUAACGUACCCUGGAGAUGGGGAUAACGGUCCCAACGGACCGCUAAUACCCGAUAAGACCACGAGAGGGCAACCUCUUGAGGUCAAAGGCGGGGGACCUUCGGGCCUCGCGCUCUGGGAUCGGUCUACUUCCUACCAGCUAGUUGGCGGGGUAACGGCCCAACAAGGCUACGACGGGUACCCGGGCUGAGGGGCUGAACGGGCACAUCGGCACUGAGACACUGGCCGGACACCUACGGGUGGCUGCAGUUCGGAAUAUUGGGCAAUGGGCGCAAGCCUGACCCAGCGACGCCGCGUGGAGGAUGAAGGCCCUCUGGGUUGUAAACUUCUGUCACGGGCGAACAAGUCAUUCCGGGUGAACAACUCGGGAUGUUGAGCUUAGCCUGGGAGGAAGCCCCCGCUAAUCACGUGCCAGCAGCGGCGGUAAUACGUGAGGGGCAAACGUUGUUCGGUGUCACUGGGCUUAAAGGGCGCGUAGGUGGCUGGGCAAGUAAGGUGUGAAGGCCCUCGGCUUACCCGAGGAAGGGCGCCUUAGACUGCCCGGCUUGAGGACCAGAGAGGCCGGAGGAACUCUAGGUGUAGCGGUGAAAUGCGUAGAUAUCUGGGGGAAGGCCGGUGGCGAAGGCGUCCGGCUGGCUGGUUCCUGACACUGAGGCGCGAAAGCGUGGGGAGCAAACAGGAUUAGAUACCCUGGUAGUCCACGCCCUAAACGAUGGACACUAAGCGGGUAGCCACCAAAGGCCGCCUGCCGUAGCGCAAGCGUUAAGUGUCCCGCCUGGGGAGUAUGGCCGCAAGGCUGAAACUCAAAGGAAUUGACGG
rnacentral:rRNA from 1 species